rnacentral:rRNA from 1 species
ACUCAAAUGAAUUGACGGGGACCCGCACAAGCGGUGGAGCGUGUUCUUUAAUUCGAUGGUAAGCGAAGAACCUUACCAGGGUUUGACAUCCUUGGAAUCACACCGAAAGGUGAGAGUGCUUUAUUGAGCCAAGUGACAGGUGUUGCAUGGCCGUCGUCAGCUCGUGUCGUGAGAUGUUAGGUUAAGUCCUUCAACGAGCGCAACCCUUGUGAUUAGUUGAAUUUUUCUAAUCAGACUGCCCCGGUAACGGGGAGGAAGGGGGGGAUGAUGUCAGGUCAGUAUUACCCUUACACCCUGGGCUAGAAACACGCUACAAUGGCCGGUACAAAGGGCUGCCAAGCAGCAAUGCGGAGCAAAUCCCAUCAAAGCCGGUCUCAGUUCGGAUAGGAGGCUGAAACUCGCCUCCUUGAAGUUGGAAUCGCUAGUAACGGUAGGUCAGCACACUACCGUGAAUACGUUCCCGGGUCUUGCACACACCGCCCGU